rnacentral:rRNA from 1 species
GAUGAACGCUGGCGGCGUGCCUAAUACAUGCCAGUCGAGCGAACGGACGAGAAGCUUGCUUCUCUGAUGUUAGCGGCGGACGGGUGAGUAACACGUGGAUAACCUACCUAUAAGACUGGGAUAACUUCGGGAAACCGUAGCUAAUACCGGAUAAUAUUUUGAACCGCAUGGUUCAAAAGUGAAAGACGGACUUGCCGUCACUUAUAGAUGGAUCCGCGCUGCAUUAGCUAGUUGGUAAGGUAACGGCUUACCAAGGCCACGAUGCAUAGCCGACCUGAGAGGGUGAUCGGCCACACUGGAACUGAGACACGGUCCAGACUCCUACGGGAGGCAGCAGUAGGGAAUCUUCCGCAAUGGGCGAAAGCCUGACGGAGCAACGCCGCGUGAGUGAUGAAGGUCUUCGGAUCGUAAAACUCUGUUAUUAGGGAAGAACAUAUGUGUAUGUAACUGUGCACAUCUUGACGGUACCUAAUCAGAAAGCCACGGCUAACUACGUG